rnacentral:rRNA from 1 species
GGAAGUAAAAGUCGUAACAAGGUUUCCGUAGGUGAACCUGCGGAAGGAUCAUUACUGAUUUAGCGAACCGAGCGUUAGCGAGGUUUUGCGAUCAACUUGUAUUUAAAACCACUCUUCAAUGUAUAAAAUUUGUAUUAAUGAUAAAUUAAAAGAUCACUUUCAACAACGGAUCUCUUGGCUCUCGCAUCGAUGAAGAACGUAGCGAAGUGCGAUAAGUAAUGUGAAUUGCAGUAUUCCGUGAAUCAUCGAACCUUUGAACGCAUAUUGCACUUUCUGGUAUUCCGGAAAGUAUGCCUGUUUGAGGGUCAGUUAAAUAAAAAUCGGUGUUGUUGCCGCUUUCCGUGGUGACGCGUCGGAAUUGAGUCGUCUUCGGUUAAGUGACUUAAAAUUUUAUAUGAUUUUACGAACGUAUUUAAAAUAUUUAUGUACGUUUUGAAUAUCAGUUUUAUUAGAUGUGGUCAUUUUUAUGGUUCGCGUCUAUAAUUUCUCAUCUAUUGGCCUCAAAUCAGGUAAGAAUACCCGCUGAACUUAAGCAUAUCAAUAAGCGGAGGA